GAUGAACGCUGGCGGCGUGCGUAACACAUGCAAGUUGGACGACGAUGCCAUGAAGUGGUAACACGGAGUGGUAUACGGAGUAGCGGACGGGUGAGUAAAGCAUGAGGAGCUGUCCUGUUGAGGGGGAUAACGUUCGGAAACGGACCCUAAUACCCCAUAGGCCGAGAGGUUAAAGGCAGAGAUGCGCGACAGGAGGUACUCGUGUCCUAUCAGCUGGUUGGUGAGGUAACGGCUCACCAAGGCGACGACGGGUAGCCGGCCUGAGAGGGUGACCGGCCACACUGGAACUGAGACACGGUCCAGACUCCUACGGGAGGCAGCAGUGGGGAAUAUUGGGCAAUGGGAGGAAUCCUGACCAAACGACGCCGCGUGAACGAAGACGGCCUUCGGGUUGUAAAGUUCUUUUAUGUGGAAGAAUUAAA
rnacentral:rRNA from 1 species